ACCUGUGUAAAGGAGUGUCACGUGAGUGAGGAGGUUUGAGACCUGCGUGGGCUAACACCGGGUUAGACUGAAGGUAACAAUGCUUAUACAGAACGAUGGUCACCGAGAGUGCUUAGUUAGUUAUUAAGUGUCUUUAUCGCAAACAAGGGAAGGAGGAGGAGGGGGGGGUAGUAGGAGGAGGAGCAUGAGAAGAAGGUGAAGCGGAAAGUAGUGAGGCAGAAGGGAUCGAUUUCUUCUUUAGCCGUUGUGCAGGUAAGACGUGUGUGCGCCAAGAAGUGUGUCUGCCCACUGCCUUGUUACGAGUUUUAAAAGUUUAGUGUGUUGGUCUGGUGUUAUUCCUCUCGUGGCGUUGUGCGUCGGGAAGCGCGUGACUCGAAGUGCAUCGCUGCUACGUGGCACCUUUCUUCCUACUCGAGAUGGAGGGGCCUGAACAUCGGUCCGAGAUUACCCAGCUGCCUUUCAUAACGGCCAGUUAUGUUUGUCUUACCCAGGCCAGAAUUCGUCCUCUCACCAGGUAUCUUAUUUAGAGAUUUGUGCAUUCUUCAGUGUUACUGUAAAACUGAAUGUUGAAUUCUAAAUGGCAGAAAUAGGCUAACAUGUUUUUUCACCGGAGAGGAAGUGUGGGUAGGAAACCCCUAGUGCCAAACCUAUGGUCUGAGGUGGGUGUAGGGUAUGGCUUUCACUCGCAUUUGAUAACUUGGGUAAUUUCAGGUUGUGUUGAGAGUAGCUGCACCAGGUUGGGUGACGAAGUAGGGUUGUUGAUUUAGUUAGAUAUUGCGUUGGGUGCUGGCUGUUUCAGCCCGCGUGUUGAAACAGCACGGCAACCCACAUAAGCUGUUUUCGAAUGCGAGUAAAGCUUUUGUGUAAAAGCUUCAAAAAAGGCUUUUGUGUAAAAGAUUGAAAGGCUGUGUAUUCCAGUAAGAAUAUUUUGUGCUGUUCAAUUAUCCAUGAAUGUCACUAUCUGGUGCAGGAAGUGUAGGAACAAAAGAGUAUUGAGUUUCGGCGUGUUUGGUGCACAUGCGAGGUACAGUACCACACAAGUUAAAUCCUUAAGUAAUGUACGCAGGUCUUAGACGUGACAUAAUGACUUGAUGACAGCAGGUGAAGGAUGGUUUUUUUUCAUUUAGGUGAAGGAUGUUUCUUCAUUGUUAACUUUAUUGUUGCAUGCAGCAGCAGUGUAUACAACAAGGGAGGAAGUCGGGUCAUGCCGCCCACCCCCUAAACGUGGGCCAAAUAAGUCUCGGGCAUCCAUCAGGGGAUGAAGUAUGUCCCGUCACAAGUCUGGCACCGGCGUCCGUAUUUCUACGUACUACACCUAUGUACUACCAACUUGGUAUAGCUAAUCUGUUUCACCAGUGCCAGCUCCUCAGCCACAGCAGCGCUCGAGUCCGACCUGUACCCGCCCAAGCGUCUGAGAACACCCGGCAUCCUGCUCCUUGACUGUCCAUGUGAUAGCAGUCCAUCUCCAGGUCUGCGUCUUCAGAAGACGUGUGUGGUCCGGCACAGGAAAGGGCUGGGCCGUUUAUAUUUUUUCAUUGGAGGCAUAGGCUAUCACGAAUUGUUCGGUCUUGGUGUUAAAGGUAAUUUAACGAGGGUGAUUCGUAAGAUUCGAAAUCUGAAUAGAACGGAGAAUACCGGUGAAGUUUUGUAAAGUGAGGUUUGGUGGUAACUAUACUAAUUAGUAUUCGUAGUGGUAGGUAAAUGGGAUGUACUAAACAUAACAGGCAACCACACCACACCCCAUCUGGCCUACAUAUAAGGACGAAGGUUGUUCAUGAUUAAAGUGUACAGAUAUAAAAUUAUUCGUUACAGGUCCUGCCACUACUGAAGGGAAAACCAAACCAGCGUGUCCUACCCUCAACCUACGGCAAGAAGCUGACUCUGCCAGUCUGCCACUACUAAAGGGAAAACCAAACCAGCGUAUCCUAACCCUCAACCUACGGCAAGAAACUGACUCUGCCACUACUGAAGGGAAAACCAAACCAGCGUGUUCUAACCCUCAACCUACGGCAAGAAACUGACUUGUACUGAAAGGCUCCAACUCGUGUCGCUACAUCGUCCAUGGAGGAAUUGGACCUUGCCUUGUCAGCUCUGAUGUGAAUGUACUAGCAUAAAUUAUUCCUUCCAUAUAACCUAACCUAUACAUGUUGCCGAUCACUCUCGUAUGUUAUUAAUCCUUCCAACUAAUGUGAAUGUACUCGCAUGAAUUAUUCCUUCCAUAUAACCUAAGCUAUACAUGUUGCCGAUCACUCUCGUAUGUUAUUAAUCCUUCCAACUAAUGUGAAUGUACUCGCAUAAGUGUAAUGUUAUUCUACAUAACUGGUGUUAAUACUUAAUAAAUCAUAAUUAAGGAAACUGA